CUGGCGGCGUGCCUAAUACAUGCAAGUCGAACGCACUCUCGUUUAGAUUGAAGGAGCUUGCUCCUGAUUGAUAAACAUUUGAGUGAGUGGCGACGGUGAGUAACACGUGGGUAACCUGCCCUAAAGUGGGGAUAACAUUUGGAACAGAUGCUAAUACCGCAUAAAACCUAACACCGCAUGGUGUAGGGUUGAAAGAUGGUUUCGGCUAUCACUUUAGGAUGGACCCGCGGUGCAUUAGUUAGUUGGUGAGGUAAAGGCUCACCAAGACCGUGAUGCAUAGCCGACCUGAGAGGGUAAUCGGCCACACUGGGACUGAGACACGGCCCAGACUCCUACGGGAGGCAGCAGUAGGGAAUCUUCCACAAUGGACGAAAGUCUGAUGGAGCAACGCCGCGUGAGUGAAGAAGGUUUUCGGAUCGUAAACUCUGUUGUUGGAGAAGAAUGUAUCUGAUAGUAACUGAUCAGGUAGUGACGGUAUCCAACCAGAAAGCCACGGCUAACUACGUG
rnacentral:rRNA from 1 species